rnacentral:lncRNA from 1 species
AGGUCUCAUGUAGCUUUGGCUGGCCUUAAACAUACUAUGUCACCGAGGAUGACCUUGAAUUCCUGAUCCUUUUGCUUCUACCUCUUAAGUACGGAGAUUACAGGCCUGCACCACCAUGCUUGGAGGGGAGCAGGGUCUCAGACAAAAGUUUUCAUCAGAAAGAACAGACAUUAAUGAAACAGGAGCAGAAAGCUACUUUGGAAAACACAGUCAGCCCUCUGCAGAAAUUGCAGCAGAUGGCUACAGAAGAGGAGGAGGAAAAUGGAGGGUCAUCUAUCAUCUCAAUUGGCUGGGGACUGUCAUUCAGGUACUAUGA